AUUGAACGCUGGCGGCAUGCCUUACACGUGCAAGUCGAACGGUAACAGGUCUUCGGAUGCUGACGAGUGGCGAACGGGUGAGUAAUACAUCGGAACGUGCCCGAGAGUGGGGGAUAACGAGGCGAAAGCUUUGCUAAUACCGCAUACGAUCUCAGGAUGAAAGCAGGGGACCGCAAGGCCUUGCGCUCACGGAGCGGCCGAUGGCAGAUUAGGUAGUUGGUGGGAUAAAAGCUUACCAAGCCGACGAUCUGUAGCUGGUCUGAGAGGACGACCAGCCACACUGGGACUGAGACACGGCCCAGACUCCUACGGGAGGCAGCAGUGGGGAAUUUUGGACAAUGGGCGAAAGCCUGAUCCAGCCAUGCCGCGUGCAGGAUGAAGGCCUUCGGGUUGUAAACUGCUUUUGUACGGAACGAAAAGACUCCUUCUAAUAAAGGGGGUCCAUGACGGUACCGUAAGAAUAAGCACCGGCUAACUACGUGCCAGCCGCCGCCGUAAGAC
rnacentral:rRNA from 1 species